UCGGGGCUCCUUGGUGAAUCAUAAUAACUUAACGAAUCGCAUGGCCUUGCGCCGGCGAUGGUUCAUUCAAAUUUCUGCCCUAUCAACUUUCGAUGGUAGGAUAGUGGCCUACCAUGGUGGCAACGGGUAACGGGGAAUUAGGGUUCGAUUCCGGAGAGGGAGCCUGAGAAACGGCUACCACAUCCAAGGAAGGCAGCAGGCGCGCAAAUUACCCAAUCCCGAUACGGGGAGGUAGUGACAAUAAAUACUGAUACGGGGCUCUUUUGGGUCUCGUAAUUGGAAUGAGAACAAUUUAAAUCCCUUAACGAGGAACAAUUGGAGGGCAAGUCUGGUGCCAGCAGCCGCGGUAAUUCCAGCUCCAAUAGCGUAUAUUAAAGUUGUUGCAGUUAAAAAGCUCGUAGUUGAACCUUGGGUCUGGCUGGCCGGUCCGCCUCACCGCGAGUACUGGUCCGGCUGGACCCUUCCUUCUGGGGAACCUCAUGGCCUUCACUGGCUGUGGGGGGAACCAGGACUUUUACUGUGAAAAAAUUAGAGUGUUCAAAGCAGGCCUUUGCUCGAAUACAUUAGCAUGGAAUAAUAGAAUAGGACGUGCGGUUCUAUUUUGUUGGUUUCUAGGACCGCCGUAAUGAUUAAUAGGGAUAGUCGGGGGCGUCAGUAUUCAGCUGUCAGAGGUGAAAUUCUUGGAUUUGCUGAAGACUAACUACUGCGAAAGCAUUCGCCAAGGAUGUUUUCAUUAAUCAGGGAACGAAAGUUAGGGGAUCGAAGACGAUCAGAUACCGUCGUAGUCUUAACCAUAAACUAUGCCGACUAGGGAUCGGACGGGAUUCUAUAAUGACCCGUUCGGCACCUUACGAGAAAUCAAAGUUUUUGGGUUCUGGGGGGAGUA
rnacentral:rRNA from 1 species